UACGGCCUUAUAGCGCUGUAAUGCCAGUUCCCGUACAAUCACCGAAGUUAAGCAACAUCGAGCCUUGUUAGUACAUAUAUGGGUGACCGCUGGAGAAGACGAGGUGCUGUAAG